GUAGUGAUCGCCGUGCUGGCACUGGCUCUCCUGGCGACCGUGCGAGCUGCUCCGGGCUACAGCAGCAACGUAGGCGGCUUCGGGGGCUACGGCAACGGGUUUGGCUUCGCGGGCUACGGCGGGGGCUACACAGGCGUGGGCUACGCUGGAAAUGCAGGCUACGGAGGAGGCUACGGAGGGGGCUACGGCGGGGGCUACGGCGGGGGCUACGCUGGAGGCUCCGGAGGAUUUGGAUUCGGUGGAGGCUACCACUGAAAACGGAGAAAGAGGGAGAAGCCCGAAAGUCUGCUCUCUGCAUCGGUCGUAAUCGGUGAAAACGUCACUCCUUUAUCUCUAUAAAACAGAGGGGAUGUAAACGUUAAUAAAGGUGAUGAAAACA